rnacentral:rRNA from 1 species
UACGGAGGGUGCAAGCGUUAUCCGGAUUUACUGGGCGUAAAGCGCACGUAGUCGGCUUUGCAAGUCGGGUGUGAAAUCCCCGGGCUCAACCUGGGAACUGCAUCCGAGACUGCAUUGCUAGAGUAUGGGAGAGGGAAGCGGAAUUUCUGGUGUAGCAGUGAAAUGCGUAGAUAUCAGAAGGAACAUCAGUGGCGAAGGCGGCUUCCUGGACCAAUACUGACGAUCAGGUGCGAAAGCGUGGGGAGCAAACAGG